rnacentral:rRNA from 1 species
AUGGCGCAGCUGCAGGAGACGUACGCGUGCUCGCCGGCGACGGAGCGCGGGCGCGGGAUCCUGCUGGCGGGGGACGCCAAGACGGAGACCAUCGCCUACUGCUCCGGCCGCAGCGUCAUCUUCCGCCGCCUCGACGCGCCGCUCGACGCGUGGGCCUACACGGAGCACGCCUACCCGACCACCGUCGCCCGCUUCUCCCCCAACGGCGAGUGGGUCGCCUCCGCCGACGCCUCGGGAUGCGUCCGCGUCUGGGGCCGCAACGGUGACCGCGCCCUCAAGGCCGAGUUCCGCCCCAUCACCGGCCGCGUCGACGACCUCCGAUGGUCCCCCGACGGCAUGCGCAUCGUCGUUUCCGGGGACGGCAAGGGCAAGUCCCUCGUCCGCGCCUUCAUGUGGGACUCUGGGAGCACUGUUGGUGAAUUUGAUGGGCACUCAAAGAGAGUUUUGAGUUGCGAUUUCAAGCCAACCCGACCAUUCCGCAUUGUCACAUGUGGUGAAGAUUUUCUGGCAAACUACUAUGAAGGACCACCAUUCAAAUUCAAACAUUCCAUAAGGGAUCACACUAACUUUGUUAACUGUAUCCGGUAUUCACCUGAUGGAACCAAGUUUAUCACUGUGAGUUCAGAUAAGAAGGGUUUAAUAUAUGAUGGCAAAACUGGAGAUAAGAUUGGAGAGCUAUCCAGUGAAGGCAGUCACACAGGCAGCAUAUAUGCUGUUAGCUGGAGUCCUGACAGUAAACAAGUUCUAACAGUUUCUGCUGAUAAAACUGCGAAAGUAUGGGAUAUCAGUGAGGAUGGAAGUGGAACGUUGAACAGAACUUUGGUUUGUACUGGUAUUGGUGGUGUCGAUGACAUGCUUGUGGGUUGCCUCUGGCAGAAUGAUAAUCUUGUCACAAUCUCUCUUGGUGGGACAUUUAAUGUCUUCUCCGCAAGCAAUCCAGACAAAGAGCCAGUAUCAUUUGCAGGACAUUUGAAGACUGCUAGUGCCCUGGCACUUUUUCCCCAAAGUAACCCAAGAACUAUGCUAUCUACAAGCUAUGACGGGGUUAUCUUAAAAUGGAUACAGGGUGUUGGAUAUGGUGGCAGGUUGAUUCGUAAGAACAACACCCAGAUCAAAUGCUUUGUUGCCACAGAAGAGGAGCUGAUCACUUCAGGGUAUGAUAACAAGGUCUUCAGAAUUCCUGUUAAUGGAGAUCAGUGUGGAGACGCUGAGUCAGCUGAUGUAGGGGGUCAGCCAAAUGCUUUAAACAUUGCACUUCAGCAACCUGAAUUUGCACUGGUUACCACAGAUUCUGCGAUCGUAUUGCUGAACAAGUCAAACGUCACUUCCACAACAAAAGUUAGUUACACUAUCACUUCGUCUGCUGUUUCUCCUGAUGGCACUGAAGCUAUCGUUGGUGCUCAAGACGGGAAACUGCGGAUCUAUUCCAUCAGUGGGGAUACUGUUACAGAAGAAGCGGUACUUGAAAAACACCGGGGUCCUAUUACUACCAUACAUUAUUCGCCGGAUGUUUCCAUGUUUUGUUCUGCUGAUUCCAACAGGGAAGCUGUUGCAUGGGAUCGGGCAACUAGAGAGGUGAAGCUGAAGAACAUGCUGUUCCACACAGCUCGGGUAAACUGCCUGGCCUGGUCACCCGACAGCCGUUUCGUCGCCACGGGCUCGCUGGACACCUGCGCGAUCAUAUACGACGUAGACAAGCCAGCGGCCAGCCGCACCACCAUCAAGGGAGCUCACCUCGGCGGGGUCCACGGGAUCUCCUUCGCCGACAACGACACUCUGGUGACCGCCGGCGAGGACGCGUGCAUCCGUGUCUGGAAACUGGCGCAGCAGUAG